rnacentral:lncRNA from 1 species
AACAAAGGUCUAUUAAAAAUCACAGGUUUAGAACUGUGGAUGAAGAACAAGAUACAUGGAACGUGAAUGCGUGUUAAGUUUAUCUAGGUCAGUUCAUAUGGAAUAGUGAGCUCCAUAAAUUAGUAAUUUUUAAGUUUAAGAGCUGAAAAAUCAUGACCUUUGAGUGUGUGUUUUCUUUUUUUGGCUAACAAUUACCACGGCUGGAACAAAUCACUAGUACAUGAGUGCCAAGGAUUUAAAUUUAAGCAUACAGCGUGUCGCAAGCCAUCUCAAGGUAGGUCAUCGAUUUAGUUUAUCUGCAACUGCGGUAUUGCUGGUACAUCAAUAGGUAGUACAUAUUUUUUUUAAUUUUUUUUGUUUAAUAGACAUCUUCCAUAUCAGAUAUCAAUAGGUAGUAACCUCAAUUGGGGUAAUACGACGCUAGAGACUUGUAAUCGAGCUGCUGAUGACAUAUCAAAGCCAUUAGAUAGAAUAGGAUCUUGCAUCUUCUUUAUCCAAAAUGUGGCCUUAGUUGGAUCCUCCAAGCAAGUUUCCAUAUUCUAGACUAAGCAAGGAUUUUUAUCAAGCUCGGACUAGCAACAAUUAUAGCCCAAUAUAGAGAACACUUUGGAAACCUCCAACAAAAUAGCAAAAACACUUCAGAACUACCACUACUAACUAAACAAAUGUUAGUAAGGAGGGGUGCCAGACCGGUCGUUUUCACUAAAGAAUAAAGAGCGGUAACCUGAACUAGGGUAAGCCGACAAUAGAGACUUCUAAGAGAGUUGUUGAUGACACAUCAAAGCCAUUUGAUAAAAAUAAUAUUGCAUCUUCUUUAUCGAAAAUGUGGCCUUUGUUGGAUCCUCAAAGCAAGUAUCCACAUUCAAGACUAAGCAAGGAAAUUUUACCAAGCUCAGACUGGCAACAAUUACAGCGUGAUAUCAAGAACAACACUAAAACCUCCAGCAAAAUGGUAAAAACACUUUAGAAAUAUUGCUCCUAACUAAACAAUGUGUAGAAAAGAAGGGAACCACACUGAUGGUUUUAACUAAUAACUAAAGAAAGUAUUGUGCGGAAACAAAGCUCUUAGCUAUUGACUAAUAACUAAAGAAAGUAUUGUGCGGAAACAAAGCUCUUAGCUAUUGACAGUAGAAGUUAGACUAAUAACAGGGGGUUGCUAAAGAUGAGGAGCUUGAUUUGAUAGUAGCGGAAGUUCACCCUGGCAAUACAGAUGUGGGCACAUUGGUGUUGUUUAGAGCAACUCUAGCAGACCCCGUAUCCCGUCCUGGCCCGCCAAAUAACCGCCAAAGUGCGGGGCGGGGCGGGAAAACCUGCCCGAUCAGACCCGGCAUCCCACCCCGGCCUGC